rnacentral:rRNA from 1 species
UUAAUAAAAAUAGUUUUUUUAUUAUAACAUUAGAAGUAGAAAUAAUAAAGUAGUGUUAACGAAAUUAAUUAUAAACUAUAGAAAAUUAGUACUGUGAAGGAAAUAUUGAAAUAUUUGAAAAUUUUGUAUAAAAAAAGUACUUAUAAAUUAAGGUACCUUUUGUAUUAGUGGUUAUUAAAAUAAUAUUAUAAAAUUUUUUCUCGAAAAUAAAAGAUCUAGAUAAAUUUUAAAGUUCUUGUAUCAAAAAGAUUUUUUAAGUUUGUUUAGGUGUGAAAUUCUAAUCGCUUUUAUUAAUAUCUAGUAACUUCAGAAAUAAAUUUAGUUUAGAAUGUUUAGGAAUUCUUUAUUUUAAAGAAAUUCUAAAAUCAUUUUUAAGUUUUAGGGGAUGAGCUCUACAACUAUUAUAUAAGAAUAAAUUUCAUUAUUUUUUUCAUAGGCUUAGAAUUAGCCAUUAGAUAGUGUUAUAAAAUAUAACUUUAAGGUUAAGAUUUAUAUUUCUUUUUGUAUUAUGAAGUUAAUUUCAAAAUUUUUUUAGAAAUGAAAAUAUGAUAACAUUAGUAGAUAAAGAUAUUAAGAAUUAAUUUUAAAUUUUUCACAAUAUUUUAUACUUAUAAAUUUAAUAAAAGAACUCGGCAAAUAAAAUUUCCGAAUGUUUAACAAAAACAUUUCCUCCUGGCUUAGGAGGUAAGGCCUGCUCACUGAAUAUUUAAAGAGCCGCAGUAUCCUAACUGUGCUAAGGUAGCAUAAUCAUUAGUCUUUUAAUUGGGGACUGGUAUGAAUGGCUUAACGAGAAAUUGACUUUUUUUGUUAUAAAAAUCGAAUUUAAUUUUUUAGUGAAAAAGCUAAAAUUAUUCAGAAAGACGAGAAGACCCUAUAGAGUUUUAUGUUUUAGGAUAUUUUUUCUUAUUUGAUUUUUUAAGGUUAAAUAUUUAAGAACAUUUUGUUGGGGCGACAUUAAGAUAAAAAAAACUCUUUAUUUUUAAAAUUUUUAUAAAAAGAAAGUUUGAUCCUCUAUAAGAGAUCAAAAGAAAAAAUUACCUUAGGGAUAACAGCGUAAAUCUUUUUUGAGAGUUCUAAUCGACAAAAAGGUUUGCGACCUCGAUGUUGGACUAAAAUUUAGGCAGGGUGCAGCAGUUCUGCUUUUAGGUCUGUUCGACCUAUAAUAUUUUACACGAUCUGAGUUCAGACCGGCGUAAGCCAGGUUGGUUUCUAUCUUCUGAUUUUUGAUUUUUCAGCUUAGUACGAAAGGAUUGGUUGAUUAUAAUUUUUAUAAUAUAGAGGAGGAUUAAUAAAUUUAUUUAC